ensembl:lncRNA
CGGCAUCCUCCUUGGUCUUCACGCCCCUCCGUUGCUCAGUUUGCCUUUCAGUCCUAUUUCUCUGCCUUUUCUUGUUAAGUUUUGCACAGCCUUCAUCCCCACCCUUUGAAUUUGUCUUUUCCUUUUCUUCCCAUCACUCCCGUUCCCCUUUACGCUCCGUGGCUGUGUCUCUGUGCGCCUCUCCUUCCCGUCUCAUUCAUUUUGUCCCCUCUCUCCCCCUCCCCAGGUUCCACGUGCUUGCAUUUCCCUUUCCUUUCUCCGCAGUGCUCCAAAAGUAAUGCCUCCUAUUUUAUGGUGCUGCCCCACGGUGUCGGAGUCAGAUGUUGGGGUGAUGUGGCAGUAGAGGUGGUACCUUCUGUGUAUCUGAAUACUCCAUUCCCUGCUGUGUGUGAUGUGAUGGAUGGCAGCAGAGGGGCAGUCUGUCAGGAUGGCAUCUGACGUGGAAGUGAGGAUGGGGCAAAGGUGUGACACUGAAUACCUCCACGCAGGAAAAGAUGGCACCCGCUGACAUUUGAUGACACCUGCGUCAUUGCAGAGCCUCCAAUUCCGGUUUAGGGAUUUCCUGACCCGGUUAUCGUGCUGCUGUACGUCCGAUUGCUAUCACACGCUCUGCUUCCGCUGUGAGCCAGCAGAAAUGAAGCUUCAGAAUGUCCCAUCUCCUCCUUGUGCCGUGGUUUGGCCCAAAGAAGCGAGGAUUGGGUGGGUCUGCAGGCGUUGCCACGCUGUGGGUAGGAUGGAGCUGCUGUGCUGUGUGGGGUCCUCCGGUGCCCAACCCCCUCGUGGGCCCUGGGCAGGGAUGAGCAGUGGGAGAAAACGCAUUACAGUCCCUGUUCUUAUCAGAUCCUGUGCCUGAGCAGCACUGCUGUGCGUUCCGGGCAGCGCUGCCGAUGGCUGCGGUCACAUUAACGGUGCUCCCUCCGAUAGCCUCUGCUUAACAACAGCUUCUGCUGGGAAAG